AACGAACGCUGGCGGCAGGCUUAACACAUGCAAGUCGAACGAGAACGGUACUUCGGUACUUAUUAAAGUGGCAGACGGGUGCGUAACACGUGGGAAUCUACCUAGUAGUGGGGAACAACAGAGAGAAAUUUCUGCUAAUACCCCAUACGCCCGAAAGGGGAAAGUCUUAUCGCUAUUAGAUGAGCCCGCGCUAGAUUAGCUUGUUGGUGAGGUAACGGCUCACCAAGGCUACGAUCUAUAGCUGGUCUGAGAGGAUGAUCAGCCACACUGGGACUGAGACACGGCCCAGACUCCUACGGGAGGCAGCAGUGGGGAAUAUUGGACAAUGGGCGAAAGCCUGAUCCAGCCAUGCCGCGUGAGUGAUGAAGGCCCUAGGGUUGUAAAGCUCUUUCAGCAGGGAAGAUAAUGACGGUACCUGCAAAAGAAGCCCCGGCUAACUUCGUGCCAGCAGCCGCGGUAAUACGAAGGGGGCUAGCGUUGUUCGGAAUUACUGGGCGUAAAGAGUUCGUAGGCUGAUAGAUAAGCCAGAGGUGAAAUGCCGGAGCUCAACUCCGGAACUGCCUUUGGAACUGUCUAUCUUGAGUUCGGUAGAGGCAAGUGGAAUUUCUUGUGUAGGGGUGAAAUCCGUAGAUAUAAGAAGGAAUAUCAAUGGCG
rnacentral:rRNA from 1 species